rnacentral:rRNA from 1 species
GUGGGGAAUAUUCGACAAUGGGCGAAAGCCUGAUCCAGCCAUGCCGCGUGUGUGAAGAAGGUCUUCGGAUUCUAAAGCACUUUAAGUGGGAGGAAGGGCCGUUACACUAAUACGUGAUGCUUGACGUACUGACAGCGACC